rnacentral:misc_RNA from 1 species
UAAAGUGCGAUAUGUAGUGCGAUUUGCAUGAAUCUGUGAGUCAUCUAAUCUUUGAACGCAACUUGCGCCCAGCAAUGGGCAUGUCUGUUCGAGUACCGCAUACCAAUAUGCAGCAAUGCGAUCUGGCCCCGACGUCAAGUCGAGGCUGAAAUGGAGCAAGUGAAAGAGGUGUGGUGUACCCGAGUGUGCUAGAGACGUGGGGACGCGAGUCUUGGUCUUGUCACUCUGGUGUAUUAUCCCUCCACUAAUUCAACCCAUUGGUCUCGAAUCAGGCAAGAUUACCCGCUGAACUUAA